rnacentral:lncRNA from 10 species
GACCCCUGCUUGGGUUUGAGGACCGCUGUUACCUUGAUAGAAUGUAGUAAGAGUGAGAAGGAAAAGAGUUAAAUCCCUACAUGGGUUUUGAGGCUUUGAGGAAGUAUUGCCAGAUAAAAUAAAGACUACUCAGUUAAAUUUGCCUUUCAGAUCCACAACAAAUAUUUUGUAGCAUAAAUAUGGGACAUAAAGUAAUGGGACAUAUGGUAUUUGGGACACAUUUAUACUAAAAAAGCUUCAUUAUUUAUGUGAAAUGCAAAUUUAACUGGGCAUCCUAUAUUUUCAUUAGAUAAAUCUGGUAACCCUACUUUGAAUGUUUACAGAACCUCUCCAUACCAUGGCAACAAACAGGCCCCCAGCUGCAGGGUCCCUGAGGCUAUAGUCUGAAGCAGCUGCAUGUGAAGGCAAUGCUGUGGAAGGCCAGCCUGUGUCCUUGUUAUGCAGUUAGUUCUAUGGCAGUUUAUUGCUUCUUCCAGCUAUUCUCUCAUAUAAUUGGUAUGGAUGAGACUUCCCCCUUGAUCUUAUUUUCUGUGGUUAUUUCACAUUGUGACAUCUGUGAAGACUUUCUAAUGGGAAUGUGACUGACUCCACUUUUUCCAGAUGACUUUGUGCUGGGCACCAAGUGGCAUUGUUACAGAUGCCGGGGUACACACACGGAGACAGCUCCAGGCAAGGUGCAUUGUUAGGCAAGCUUCCUGUGAGGCAAAGCUAGCCACAGAUGGAAGCCUGCACCCAACCCUACUGCCCAGAGGAACCCCAGGACCCUCAGCCAUCCCUUCCUGGAAUUGCUCAACAUAGAGGAUGCAGCAAGCUCUAUAACUACAGCAUCUAACUGGAAACCAGUUAAGAGAGAUUGGCAGGCUUGGGUGUCUGUUGAACACCCACUCUGCAUGGGCGCCUGCAGGAGAGAGAAAACCCAAAACCACCUCCAAUUACAAUAUGUGGAAGAUGAAAUAAAAGAAAGUCAAGUUAAUUUGUGGCCUUUUAAAAAACAAGAGGUUGAGCAUGGUGUCUCACACAUGUAAUCCCAGCAUGUUGGGAGGCUGAGGCUGGAGGAUUGCUUGAGUGCAGGAGUUCAAGCCCAGCCUGGGCAAUAUAGUAAGACCCUAACUCUACUAAAAACUAAAAAACAAACAAACAAACAAACAAACUAGCCAAGCAUGGUGGUAUGUGCCUGUGGUCCAAGCUACUCUAGAGGCUGAGAUGGGAGGAUCACUUGAGCCCAGUAGUUCGAGGCUGCAGUGAGCCAUGAUGGCACCACUUCACUCCAGCCUGGGUGACAGAACGAGACUCUGUCUCAAAAAAAAAAAAAAUACAGAAAGGAAGAAGAAAAAGAAAAGAAAGAGAGAGAAGAAAAGAAAAGAAAACAGAACAGAACAAGCCUAUUAGAUGGACAAGACUGGUAGAUAUUUUCUCUGCUUUUUUUUCUGGUUAAGGCUUCAACUUUUGUCUGCAGGUUAAAACUCUAUUUCCUCACGUGGGAUUGGGUCUCCAUUUGGUAUCUCUGUAUUUCACCGCAUCCAGACUUCUGUUUAAAAUCAACUGAUAAUUGUUUCAGCACAUUUCUGUUCAAUUUCUAUGUAGUGGCAUUGCAGCCCAGGAAGGGAGUCAAAAAAGGUAGGAGGAGGCGGAUAGCAAAUGGGAUAAACAGCUCCCGGCAGAGAGGAUGGAAGCAGUGAGCUGCGUUACCCACAAAGAUGAUCCACAGCAAAAGCAGAGCUGGAGCUGGCGCCACUGGGAAAAGGAAGGAGAGAGAAGGAAUGGGAAUGCCAAGGAGGACAGCCAACCUGAAAAUCAACCCGCAGGGAUGAAGAGGCAACAGCGGGGCUGGAGGAAGCAGACAUGGAGGGGGCCUUUCCUCGCCAGAAAACCAGACUUCCUACAAAUGCCUUUCUAGACAGUAAGCAGAUUUCUUCUGCUAUAAACGUCAACCAUUAGAACCUUUUCUCCCUAAAGCUGCAGACCUCAGGGGCAGAGGGGCUGAUGACCAAGAAAUCAGACUGACUUGUAAACUGUGGUAGUGAUAUGUGAGAAAAGCCUUCCUUCUUCUGGGAGCUUGGGCAGAUGGUCAGGAAGGGAGAAACAUAGUUAAGAUGUCAAUAGGGUGUUAGGAUACUAUUAUGCAAAUUCAGUGAUCAGAAGCACCCUGUGUAUUCAGAGAAAAAGGAAAAAAUCCCAGCAUAUUCAAUGUUAUUGUUCUAGUGUCAAGUUUCAAGGUACCAUGUGGGCAAUUGUGCAGGCAACUCUCAUUUGACGUAAAGACUCACAUGUAGUUGCUGCAAAGUAGGAAUAUAUAUAUCUACCCACACAAAGAAUAUAUAGAAAGGACUGGAUAACUAGCCAGUUCUAGUUAUUCAUUAUUAUUCUGUUAUUAGCUAGUUAUGAUUAUUCCAAUAAUGUCAUAAACCUAGAGAUUUUCAGGUUGAUGAACAGAAGUCUUAAAAGGUAACAAAACUAUUUGGAAGGCAGAAAUAAAACACACACACACACACGUGCACACACUCAUGCCCAUUUCCUAAUAACAAGAUUACUUCGACUACAUUGCGAACAUGAUCAACAGAAACAAGUUUCAAUUAAUUAUUAGAUCACAUCUUUCUACCUUCCUUUCAGGAAGUAGAGUCCCAGAAUAUCAGUUACCCUACAGUCCUUUAUCCCCAAAGCAUGGCUCAGAUUCUGGAAGCACACAGAAACAUAACUUUAAGCUUUUCUUAAAACUUACUGCUAAAGUUUCCCAAAGUGACCCUUUGAAGUAAUAAUUAUUUUCAUUAAGACAUUUCCAUUUAAAAAAUCUUUUUCUAAAGUAUAAAAGCAAUAAAUGAUCACUGUAAAGAAAACCUGACCUAUAGAAAAGUAUUAAAAAUUAAAAUACUGACAAUCUGACACUCCCCAAAAUGCUCACGGUAUUUGUCUCUGGGAGCUACGACAUAUUUCUAGUACAUUAAUAUAUGAGCUUUUUCCUUCAUUUCUUUCAUUUCCACUUUGGAUACAGCUUGUAACUCAAGUGGGUCACCCUCUCUCAUACUCAUACCCACUGACACAUAACAGCACAGGUUCAUCGAGACAUGCCUGUUUGGGAGUGGACUUGGGUGGUGGGCUCCUUGCUGUUGAUGGUUCUCCUUUCCUGGCGCCUAGCAGUUUCAGCAGGCUUUCAUGUCUCCUCCCAUUCUUGCUUUCCUGGGUACUCUGACAAUUACCAAGCAGGCAAUGCUGCAUGUUAAAAAUUGGAAGAAAAAAAAAUCAAGGUAAUCUUCCAGGCGUUGAAGGGAACAGCAUAGAGGAAUGUUGACCAAGGUCCCCACAGAGUGAAAUGUCUGCUCAGGACCAGAUGGUCACCCCAGAAUUACUGGACAUGUACGUGCACGCAAGCAUGCAUGUGUGUGUGUGUGUCUGCGUGUGUGCAUGUGCAUGAGUGAAGAAGGGAGGUGGCUUCCAUGUCAGACUUUUAACCUACUACCCUCAUCUGAGGGUACUGAGCCUUUAGCAUUCCAGGGAAGGAGGAAACAAAGUUUUUUUGUGGGUUUCUCCUGCUCCCUCAAAUAAAUUUUUUGACUUCUCUUCAAUUUAACUAUUUAUUGAGUAACUACUAUGUGCCAGGAAAUGUUAUAGGGCACUUGGGAUGCAACAGUGAAAAAACAAAAUUCCUGCCCUCAUGCCUCCUACAUCCAAUGGCCAUCAUCUCCACACCAGCCCCACAUUCCUACAACCACAGCUGCUUCAGCUCUGAGUUUGUAGAUUAAAGGCUCCUACUCUCUGACUACAUCCACUAACUCUUCCAGCUCACAGAAUGCUACUCUGUUCAUGCCUAUUACUCAGAAUCACUGAGCCCUCAAGUCCCCACCACCUCUGUUGUCAGGCACAGCUGGUUGCCUAACCAAUAUCCAUUUUUGGUUUUUUGUUUUAACUUAGAAAACCCCCAUUUUGUUCAAGAUGGCAAUGGUCCUAGCUAAAAACAUUUUGGCAUCGUAGGCCACUGCUCUGGCCAGUGAGAUAUAAGUAGAAAAAGUCCUUUGUGAGAACUGAACAGGUCUUGAGAGGAGAUGGUCCACACAGUAUUUAGUGUGGAUGUGGAUGUGAAGGCUGGAGUCCUGGCAACUACUUUAUGAACAUAAUAAUGAGAGCCACACCUAAAGGAAAUAGAAAGGAAGGAGUCAGGUUCCAAAGCCAUACCCUCCCCCAGGCUGCCCACCUCUGGAUUUUUAUUUUUUUUUUACAAUAGAUACGCUCUUACAUUUUUAAGCCACUGCUUUUUGAGUAUCUAGUUACUCAGAGUUAAACACAAGUCCUAAUUGAUCUAUCAAGGUAUAAGAGUAGACAGAUGCGUGGUAGCAUAGAGCACAAUCACAUGGCAUGUUUGUUAAAACUUAGAUUGCUGGGCCCACUCUGGGGUUUCCAAUUUAGUAUAUCAGAAGUGAGCCCCAGAAAUGUUCAUUUCUGAGUUCCCAAGUGAUGCUGAUGCUACUGCUCCAGGAACCAUACUUUGAGACCCACACGGUUAGGUUUCAUUGCAGUGAAGAAACAAAGAACAAAAGCAAGCAGAUUUUGGUGGCACAGUGACUUGCUACUAAAAAUGUGGUACACCAACCAGUAGCAUUGAUCAUGCCCAGGAACUUGCUAGACACACAGAAUCUGAGACCUCACCUCAGAGCCACUGAAUCCGAAUCUGCAUUGUAACCAGUUCCCAAGUGGUUCACAUGCAUGUCCACAUCUGAGGAGCAGGACCUGUUACAUGGCCUGUGCAAGCCCGGGGGUCUCUGCCCAUCAUGGUCAUUCAGGAAGGUCAAGGAGGCUCCAUCUGCCUCCAUGACCACGGGUGCUGAAAGGAGUGGAUGGAAUGGAUCAUCGCGCUGGCCCAUCAAGUCUCCACUCUAGACGAGUCACCUCACUCAGGAUUACAUCAACCAUUAAUGUCAGGGUGGCAGGUGUGCAAUCCCAUCAGGUUCCCAGAAAGAGAACAAGAAUAAGAACAAACAAUUUAAGGACUCCUACAGUCAGCCUGGCUUUCUUCUUUCCUGUCCUUCAACUACUCUCAGAAAAAGGACUACAGAAAUUUAAAAUAGUGUAAGUACAAAUGUAUCUGCUAGAACAAAAACACAAACCUUCUUAAAUACCAAAACAAAUAAACAGAUGUAAAUGCAUAUAUAGCAAAGAAUACAUAUCUUGGAAAGAAAUAUCGCAAGUAUGAAAAAUAAAAAUAAUUAUUAAAUUAUGAUAAUGUUGACACCAAACAUCGGUCAUAUCAAUAAAUGUGAAUGGACUUAACUUAUCUUUUAAAAGAAAAAGAUUUUCAAUGUGGCUUGUAAAACAAGGGAACUUUGGCAACGCCUGACAAAGCCACAUCUGAACGUAACUUGCAAUUCAGCCAUUCCCCUGUGAGGAUUCCACUCUGAUGGGGCUUACAAGAUGGCCUGCAGGCCUCCCCCAACAUCAUCGGCUCAUUUGCUUUGUCCUCUGUCAGCAAGUAAGCCAAGGGCAAGCCGCAGAGAUCUAAGGACGAGGGGUGAGGCCAGUGGGGAAUAAUGGCCCUUCCAUAGAAGGAAUGGACAUCAUUUUGAUUUGCAUUUGGGCAGACCAGGUGGGAUCCUUCAGAUAAUCAAUUCUGACUCCAGCACUGAGCAGUGAAUGUCACCUGUGCUGAGCAGUCCAAAUCACCAAACAAAUAUAUCCAACAUGUGGGAGCUGGCUGAGAGAGCCCUGGAGAGUCUUUGAGCUAAUGAGCCUGGUCAAAGGGACGUGGAGAGAACUAUUUUGAAAGCCAAAAGGCAGCAAGCCACAAAACAUCUUGAAUGAGACUAAAACUUGCAGGCAGUCUAGGGAGGGCCCCAGCUAGAUCAGUGAGUGAGGGCUCAUGGAUACCAAAUUAAGGCCUUAAUCAUCCCUCAACUAUUUUCAUGCUUAGGCUUAAGCCCCAGGAUGGUCCACACACAAGCAGAUCUUGAUGUUCCUAAUCUUGACUUUCCUACAUUUUAGAAUAUCCCCCUACAACAACUUCCAUGCAUCGAUUUUGAAUAUUGGCACAUCGACUCACCACAGCCUCCUGCUCAGGACGCCGCCUUCAUCAUUAGCAUGGCCGUCAUUCUUGUUUGGACAGCUGUUUCCUGGCAAUAAUUUGAACAUAUACUACAUUUUCCCCUCUUUAUAAAAAUGAGUAGCAAAUGGGCAUAUGAGUAUGCUUGGCAAAACUUAAUAACUUAAUUAAGUUGAAGAUGGAGAUCAUUAGGUGCUGGAAGAAGCAAAUCUUUAACCUUAAUUCAUGGUCAUGGGACUUAAGCCAGAAAUGGGUUGAUUUCAUGCUGAGUUGUGAAGGAAAUGAACAAAAUUGAAGAGUCAAUUUGAAAUGUGAAAUAUAUAUGACCAAACAGUAGGCCUAAGGAGGAGUUACAAAAUCAGAGGUUUUAUAUUACUGUUGAGAGCUCUGAUCACAGAAUCCCCUUUCUAAUAUGUUUUUUUGAUACGUAUUCAACGUCCAAACGUAUUUUCAGGACUAAGGGAUCCAUGGUUUUGGUGCUUUGUGGGCUGGGGCCAGGAAGCAGACAGGCUUACCUCGCACAAAAUACCUCCACUUCCUGCCUCUCCCGGUCAGGUCAGUCCUGUUCCUCCCUCCAGCCCCGUCAGACCCUCAUUUCCAUUACAAGAUCUAGAAACCCCAUUUUAGGAAGAUAUAAAUAUCUUAGAGGAUUCCAUGUCAGGAAAGGAAGUGAAUUCCAAGGCUGCAGGAUUCCCGUGGAAAAGGCCCCGAGUUCCACUUCUCAGCGCUCCUGGGGCCGCUGGAAGCGCUUCCUAGCCCGGCUGACAUCAUCUCUCUGGUUUUCUCAGACACUUUUUGCAAACCUCAAUCACAUCAACCCAAAUUCUCAGCUGGAAACACGUGGCCCUGUGUGCAUCUCCUUCUAAGAAUACUGCGCCCUUUGAAGAACUAUUUUUGACAAUCAGAAUUGGAGACAGUCCCUAGGGCCUCUGAAGAGAAGCACAUGCCACAUGAAAAUAGUCACUAAGAAUAAAUCAAGCCACCAAAGGAGCCCGCGUCAGUGCAGGCCAGGCCGCAGGCAGGAUGCAAGGAAGGCGACACUGACCCCAGCUGGUUUUCUCUGCCUCCGUCUCCUGUGACUGCGAGGCUUAGACAUUUAAUAUCCUUCUGUUGCCGAGUCCCUCCCCAAAUGACGACCAUUUCUCAAUGCAAUAAACAGGUGCUGCGGCACCAGACAAAUGCUCCGCUUUCUAAUCACUCCCAUUUAACGCGGACUUCCGGAGUUAUUUCUCUUCGCUGAGAGUAACUCAUAAGAAACAAAACAUAUCUGGUUUAUGGCUUUGCCCCUUGAGACCACUUAGGUAUAGAAAAUAGAAAUAUGCUUAACUGCUUCUUGAAAGCUACCGUGAAUAUUUGUACCUAGGAAAAGCACUUCCUUUACACCCUAAGAAGGGAGGGAUUUCUUUUGGAAAAUCAAUGUAUCA